GAUCAUGGCUCAGGAUGAACGCUGGCGGCGUGCUUAACACAUGCAAGUCGAACGGAGCUUAAGAAGGAAGCUUGCUUCAUUUAAGCUUAGUGGCGGACGGGUGAGUAACGCGUGAGCAACCUGCCCUUCAGUGGGGAAUAACACCGAGAAAUCGGUGCUAAUACCGCAUAAUGUCGGAGGACCGCAUGAUCUUCCGACCAAAGGAUUUAUUCGCUGAAGGAUGGGCUCGCGUCCGAUUAGGCAGUUGGCGGGGUAACGGCCCACCAAACCGACGAUCGGUAGCCGAACUGAGAGGUUGAUCGGCCACAUUGGGACUGAGACACGGCCCAGACUCCUACGGGAGGCAGCAGUGGGGAAUAUUGGGCAAUGGGCGAAAGCCUGACCCAGCAACGCCGCGUGAAGGAUGAAGGUCUUCGGAUUGUAAACUUCUUUGAUUGGGGAAGAAUAAAUGACCUACCCAAAGAACAAGUCACGGCUAACUACGUGCCAGCCGCUGC
rnacentral:rRNA from 1 species